rnacentral:sRNA from 1 species
AACCUGUAUGAUCUUCAACGAAUACUUU